CAUCUUCGGAUGUGUAUAAAGUGGCGAACGGCUGAGUAACACGUGGGCAACCUGCCCUUUGCACUGGGAUAGCCUCGGGAAACCGAGGUUAAUACCGGAUACUCCAUAUCCACCGCAUGAUAGAUAUGGGAAAGCUCCGGCGGCAAAGGAUGGGCCCGCGGCCUGUUAGCUAGUUGGUGGGGUAGUGGCCUACCAAGGCAAUGAUGGGUAGCCGGGUUGAGAGACCGACCGGCCAGAUUGGGACUGAGACACGGCCCAGACUCCUACGGGAGGCAGCAGUGGGGAAUCUUGCACAAUGGGCGAAAGCCUGAUGCAGCGACGCCGCGUGCGGGAUGAAGGCCUUCGGGUUGUAAACCGCUUUCAGCAGGGACGAGGCCGCAAGGUGACGGUACCUGCAGAAGAAGCCCCGGCUAACUACGUGCCAGCAGCCGCGGUAAUACGUAGGGGGCAAGCGUUAUCCGGAUUCAUUGGGCGUAAAGCGCGCGUAGGCGGUCUGUUAGGUCAGGAGUCAAAUCUGGGGGCUCAACCCCUAUCCGCUCCUGAUACCGGCAGGCUUGAGUCUGGUAUGGGAAGGUGGAAUUCCAAGUGUAGCGGUGAAAUGCGCAGAUAUUUGGAAGAACACCAGUGGCGAAGGCGGCCUUCUGGGCCAUGACUGACGCUGAGGCGCGAAAGCUAGGGGAGCGAACAGGAUUAGAUACCCUGGUAGUCCUAGCUGUAAACGAUGGACACUAGGUGUGGGGAGAUUAUACUUUCCGUGCCGCAGCUAACGCAUUAAGUGUCCCGCCUGGGGAGUACGGUCGCAAGACUAANACUCAAAGGAAUUGACGGGGGCCCGCACAAGCAGCGGAGCAUGUGGCUUAAUU
rnacentral:rRNA from 1 species